GUAUAUUUGACUACAUCAUGCUUCUCUACAGGGAGUCCCCCCGGCCCCCUUUAAAGCUUGGCUCAAAUACCAGUGUUGAAAACCUUCCUGCGGUCAAAUGAGUGCUUUUGGCGUUUGAGGAAUGUAUUAACGCUUCCAGCUGUGCAGCCAGAGGUGAUACUCGACGGAGAGAGGAUCAUUCGUUUGAGUGUGAGGCAGACAAAGGGGUCAUGAGUGCUGAGAGGUGAAUGUGAGAAACCGCUGUAUCACACUCGAGGCCUACCUUGCAUGGUUUUCUGGAGACUUAACCGUCACGUGUCUCAGCUGGGAAAUCGGGGAGUCUGUCAAUGUCAACACAGGAGAUGGUGUGACUCUUCCAUUCUGUGCACUCGCAGGCAUCAGGACAGGAGUCAGCCUGGGACCAAGUGCUCAUAUGGAGGACAAACAAAGUGCAUAAUAUCACUUGCAUUUUGGAGUGCCACUCUGUGGAAGUCUCUGGUGGUCCUCUUGGUGAUCUGUGUGCAGAAUAGCAUAUGAAUUGUUGCUCAAAUCCUUUCAAAGAGUACUUGUUUUCUUCCCAGUUUCCCAAGAGAUUCUUGUCUGUGAGGCUGAGACGUCGGGAUGCUGGAGGACGGGCAGCCAGAGCUCUUUAGUGGACUUUUUUUUUUUUUGGAGGUGGUCUUCGACUUGAGGGUGGACUUAUGAGGCACUCUUGUGUUAGAUUGGAGAAUAACUCCCAGCCCAAUUCUUAUCUUGUUCUCUUCAGUUCUUAUGGGUGUUAUGCAUGGUAUGGUAAGUUUUGUUACAAGUUACAUUAAGGAGCAUCAUGUUUGCACCAUGCAACAUGCUCAUUUAAUCAUAUAUAGACAGUAUUACUAAUAAUUAAUACACCAUUUUUUUUACAUGUUGACAGGUUUCUCGUUUGUUUGCUUCCUGUUUAAGUGUCAACAUUUACUAAUUUAAAAAAAUGCAAAAAGCAAGAGAUAGAUAUUACAAAGUGAUGAAAAAAGAAAUGUAGGAAAAGGUGUGGGAACAAAAUAAAUUGAGCAAAUAUUGGUAAAAAACAAUCUGUGUUGGAAUCUCUAGUUGCUCUAAACUAUGACAGGAAGUAGUUAGUUGGGGUUCCCCAGGGGUCAAUCCGGGGAACCCCUGUUGUUCAAUCUGUACAUCCUUCCGUCGGACAGACGAAGGUGAACACGAUCCUUCAGAUUUACUUUGUCACUACGUCAAACAGAUCAGUGUGUGGAUGCAAAUAUUUUUUCUGCAGGUCUUCUGCAGAUUCCCGCAGUCAGGACCAAACAAGGUGAGGCCGCAUUUCAGUUUCAUCAGGCUGAAAACACUUUAUAUUAUAUUUUAUAUCAUAUUCAAAUGUGCGUAUGACAACUGAAAGUAUUUAAUUCAUUAUUACUUUUCUAAUCUACUUUUUGGGGUUUUAAAUUAUUUUUUUGCCUUCUUUUCUGUAAAGUACUUUGAAUUAUCUUGUGUAUGAAUAAAUCUUGUGCUCAAUAAAUAAAUGUGACUUGCCUUGCUGAAAAAAAUGACAAAAA